UGGGGUGUUUCUGUGGGCCUUUUUCGUCUUGGCUAUAAUCCUCCCCAAAAAGAAAAUAGUUGAAGGAAACGGCAUCCGCUUUAUCAUAUUUACCUUCACCUAUGCAUGCCUUCUUGGAGCAGUAUCUGGGUGAGUUUAAAUCUACCAUUUGUGAUAUAUUCAUAUAUUCCUGGAA